CGUGAGCGGCGGACGGGUGAGUAACGCGUGGGUAACCGUGCCUCAUACAGGGGAGUAACAGUUGGAAACGGCUGCUAAUACCGCAUAAGCGCACAGUACCGCAUGGUACCGUGUGAAAAACUCCGGUGGUAUGAGAUGGACCCGCGUCUGAUUAGCUAGUUGGUGGGGUAACGGCCUACCAAGGCGACGAUCAGUAGCCGACCUGAGAGGGUGACCGGCCACAUUGGGACUGGGACACGGCCCAA
rnacentral:rRNA from 1 species